GUUUGAUCCUGGCUCAGAUUGAACGCUGGCGGCAUGCUUUACACAUGCAAGUCUAACGGUAACAGGUCUUCCGAUGCUGACAAGUGGCGAACGGGUGAGUAAUACAUCGGAACGUGCCUAGUAGUGGGGGAUAACUACUCGAAAGAGUAUCUAAUACCGCAUGAGAUCUACGGAUGAAAGCAGGGGACCUUCGGGCCUUGUGCUACUAGAGCGGCUGAUGGCAGAUUAGGUAGUUGGUGGGGUAAAGGCUUACCAAGCCUGCGAUCUGUAGCUGGUCUGAGAGGACGACCAGCCACACUGGGACUGAGACACGGCCCAGACUCCUACGGGAGGCAGCAGUGGGGAAUUUUGGACAAUGGGCGAAAGCCUGAUCCAGCAAUGCCGCGUGCAGGAUGAAGGCCCUCGGGUUGUAAACUGCUUUUGUACGGAACGAAAAGCCUGGGGCUAAUAUCCCCGGGUCAUGACGGUACCGUAAGAAUAAGCACCGGCUAACUACGUGCCAGCAGCCGCGGUAAUACGUAGGGUGCAAGCGUUAAUCGGAAUUACUGGGCGUAAAGCGUGCGCAGGCGGUUUUGUAAGACAGUGGUGAAAUCCCCGGGCUCAACCUGGGAACUGCCAUUGUGACUGCAAGGCUAGAGUGCGGCAGAGGGGGAUGGAAUUCCGCGUGUAGCAGUGAAAUGCGUAUAUAUGCGGAGGAACACCGAUGGCGAAGGCAAUCCCCUGGGCCUGCACUGACGCUCAUGCACGAAAGCGUGGGGAGCAAACAGGAUUAGAUACCCUGCUAGUCCACGCCCUAUACGAUGUCAACUGGUUGUUGGGUCUUAACUGACUCA
rnacentral:rRNA from 1 species